CCUGUCAAACCAUCCAGCACAUGCCAAUAUGGAAAGUGGAUGUUAAAAAUGAUGAUGAUAUAAACGUGUUUUCAUAUACACACAUUUGUUUUCUCUACCAUUAGAUAACUCUUCACCAUUCACCCUGUCUUGAGUUCCUAUUGCAAAGUUCUAUUCACUUUGAGUAUUUCUCUAUAAAAUUGUCUUCAUGUGCCCAUAUCAGUGUACAUUACAUUUAUGAGGGGGUACCCAAAAGAAACCAGAAUUUUGCAAUAUUUUAUUCACUUAGCUUUACAUGUUUACACUUUUAUCGCCUUCAAAAUAUUCUCCAUUUGAAGCAAUGCAUUGGUCCAGGUGUGUUUUCCUCUAUUUGAAGCAGUGCUGGAACUCUUGCUUUUUAACACCUCUGUCAUUUUUUUUUCUUCACCUUUUCCACAUUUGCAAAUUCCAUAGAACUAGUGGUGACCUUUGAAAAAAGGUCUGGAUCAACUUUCAGCUGUUUUUUCACUUCACAACAUGUAUUCAUGGCACGCAUUUGAUCUUCUGUACACAGCAAUGGCAGUGAGCAGGCAAAAUCCAGGCGAAAAUGAGGCAAGCCAUAUACAUGUGGCACCAGUGUACAUGCGUGAAGCACCACAUGGUCAUGCUUUGGAGAAGAAGGUCAGCUGCCAUGUUGAAAAUGAAAGAAAAUUCACACAUGUGGUUGCCUAAAAGAAAGAGCAAGUGCUUCAAAGCCUGUUUUUUUUUCUUUGGGUUUGUUGUUUUUCUUGUUACUUAUUUUAUGCCUUUUUAAAAAAAAUUUUUUCAGGGAAUAAUAUCAGGUCACCAAUAUAACAAGAGGAAAAUCAAAUAGUUAGGCUUACCACUUUAGGAAGUAUAUUUAGAUGUGUGCAUAUAAGAAGGUUUGAAAUGUAUAAAUGUAUGUUUUACGUGAAGGUAACGAUAAAUAUCAGAAGGCAAUGUUUUUGGUUAACAAACAACAAUUUAUUCUUUGAUCAUUCAUGAAGUAGCAGGAACAUCAGAGCGUUCGAGGCAACAGGGUGUAGCGAGACAAAAGUUAAUUCCUUAAUACCCAUCAAGGUAGUUAGCUCUGGUACUUGGCUGCAAAUCUAAAAUAUCCAAGGAUUUUUGAAGUGGUCGUGAGGCAAGGUAGGAAUCCCAUGGUUGUAUGAAUGCUGUUUUCUGGUUAAUUCAGCAAUGUUUUGUCGUUUGGAUGAACAACUGAUGUGUUUACAUCUUGAUGUCUUCUCAGGAACUGGUUUUUUGCCUUUCAAAACUUGCGCUUUACCACUGGGUCAAGUGUAUUCUUCUGUGCCCAGCAGUGAUUGGGUGUUUUGGGCAUAGCAUGAUUGUGCUAUGCUACCACAACAAAAUAGUGCUAACGUGUCUUGCUACAUGCUCUUCAGCCAUGAUAUACCAAAAUUUAUUCUCUAUAAAGGAUAGCUUUGAAAAAUUCCUUUCUGCUUCACAACUUUUGAUAGGCAUUUUUGUGAAGAAGUGAAGUAGUAAUAUUAGGGAACAUUUCAAGAUGGUGUUGCUCAUAAAUAAACUGUAAAGUUUCUGUGCAUUGCAUUUUGGAUGGCAUGUUUUCUUGUGUGUUAUGAGAUUUUCUAAGAUGCAAAUAUUCCCUGAACUGAUGACACUCAUUUGCUAAUUUAUUGUUAAUAUCAUAUUUGUAAUAUGACAUAAGUUUAAUUCAAUCCUCAUCAAUUACAGAGUUGUUUACCAAUUCUGAGAGGAACUUGAACUUUGCAAUCUGCAAAGUUAAUCCUCUUACGUAAUUUGAUUACUAUGAAGUUAAAGAGGUGAUUUAGAGAUUCUAUUUUAAAUUUCUCAUAUCCAUUCAAAGAAGCACUAUCACUUGUUCCAUUUGAAAAUUUUAUGGUAACAAUGCAUUUAGAAGCAUCAGAAUAACUUGCAGUGGUAUAUUUAUACAAACUUUAUACAAACUAAGCAUUUAAUCCAGUGUGCAAUACUGUUGGCUGAAUUUUCUUGGAGUUCCUUAAAAGUAAAGACAAUAGCGGAAGAUAAACUUCAAAUACAUUGAAACCAAGAAUUGGUAGUUUCUUAAUUGUUUUGCUGAAGCAAUCCAACGCAUCUUCCUAAAUAACUGUUUAAAAUUGUGUAUUCAAACUUCACCAAUUUGUAGUAUAAAUUCUUUGUAUCUCUUUUCAAAAAUAUGUUUGAGAGUUUGAAAAAUACCUGUUUUCCCAUUUUAAUUGUCCUGAUUUCUUCAUAGUAUACAAACCAUCUUGUUACACAGCUACAAUUGGUCUCUUCAGAGAAAAAUCUAUCACUUCUUCAUACAGUUUUGGAAAGAUGAGAAAUAUUUACUUUUCAUUCUUGCAUUCCUCAAAAUGUUUCUGUAAAAACAGGUCAAACUCAGUAAAAAGUUCAAUGAACUUCAUAAAGUUUCCCUUAUUUAGUGAGCCCCAUUCCUCCUCAUGACCCCUAAAUGCAAAACCUCUUUCCCUUAAACAACUAAAACUCCUUGCACAGUGUGGUUUCCUUCUUGUUUUUCAAUGCAGCAUCACCCAUUUAUGUUCCAUGCUAUCUUUUAUUAUUCUUCAGAGUUCUGAAUAUGCUCAUUCAGUCAGAAAACUCAUCUGUUGUGAGGCAUUUAGAAAAGAAUUUGCAAGCACAAUACAUAUGUAGUCUUUGUUCGUUGAGUAAACUAAUCAGGAUCUCAUCAAAGUCUGGUCAUUUUCAAUCUGCUUUCAAAAUACCUUCAAGAAAAGUAUGUUUUGCUCCUUGUAAACAUGACUAGUCUUGGUAUAUAGGAAUCGUCUGUUUUUCUUCUUAAUAUUUUCCAUUAAUCACUUCUGUAUGAAAUAUCAACUGUGACGAACUAGUUUGCAAGGUCACUAUAAGUCUUGUUUACCAAUUCUGAAUUUGUUUCUGGGUUUAUUUGCUCUGUUUCAAAAGUAUCAGCAGAGGGCGGGGGGGGGGGAUUGAUGGAAAGGGCCCCCAUAAUUUGUGCACUAUCACUGGUUUCAAUGGUGCUUAACUGGUUUGUUUCAGCUGUAGAUGUUGUUGCAUUGUAAAGUAGUGUGAUAGCUUUUGAUAUUUGAGAAAUUUCAUCAGAUUUCUUGCACUUUUGGCACCCACUUAAGUAUUUUCAGGAAUUUAUUAUUAUUAUUUCUCUUGGGUCUUGACCUUUGUCAAAAGCAGAGUUUGAUUAUGGUAGGUAAGUAAAACUAAAAAUUUGCAAAAUUCUUUUAUUCAAAGAUUAGAUUCAAACCUAAGAAACGGAAGUCUUCAAUGAAGGAAUAAAAAUGUUAAAGGAAAAACUUCCAAGGCUAUUCUCACAAAGCUAAUUGUAUUACAGUUCUGGAAUUAUAAAAAUUGUUUUAUGCAAGCUGUUUGAAUAAAAAAAUUAAAUACAAC